UAGACAGAUUAUUGUAUUCGACUGUAUUCACGAUAUGUAUUUGUGAAUAUAGUAACAUAAAUAGCGCAAUUCAUGGUCUAUUCAGCUGGUUUUAAACGGAAAGUGAAUCAAUUAACAUAAUAGACUCCU
rnacentral:pre_miRNA from 1 species